CUGACUGUCUUGUUAGAUUAACCCAAAAAAUUUCAUUCACUCCGCAUACUCAAUCCUAUAGACACUCUUUUAAUUCUUCAAUCACAGACGUAACUUUGAUUUCAUAAAACAGUCAAGAGUUAUCAAACCCACUUCAAUAAAAAUUCCGAUUUACUAUUACAAUACUCACUUCAGCAAUGAUUGCCUCAGUCUUCCCAAAA
rnacentral:lncRNA from 1 species